rfam:Clostridium cavendishii DSM 21758 genome assembly, contig: EJ30DRAFT_scaffold00028.28
AAAAGUGAAUAAAAGCUUCUGUAGACAGUAGGUGCUUCGGCAUAACGUAAAUCAACCUACCGAGGGAUGUUGCAUAAUAUGUAAGUCUUCCUCUGUCUACGGGAAGGCUUUUCUUAAUAAAUAA